rnacentral:rRNA from 1 species
GCAUGCCUAACACAUGCAAGUCGAACGAAGGCUUCGGCCUUAGUGGCGCACGGGUGCGUAACGCGUGGGAAUCUGCCCUUGGGUUCGGAAUAACAGUUAGAAAUGACUGCUAGUACCGGAUGAUGACGAAAGUCCAAAGAUUUAUCGCCCAGGGAUGAGCCCGCGUAGGAUUAGGUAGUUGGUGGGGUAAAGGCCUACCAAGCCGACGAUCCUUAGCUGGUCUGAGAGGAUGAUCAGCCACACUGGGACUGAGACACGGCCCAGACUCCUACGGGAGGCAGCAGUGGGGAAUAUUGGACAAUGGGCGAAAGCCUGAUCCAGCAAUGCUGCGUGAGUGAUGAAGGCCUUAGGGUCGUAAAGCUCUUUUACCAGGGAUGAUAAUGACAGUACCUGGAGAAUAAGCUCCGGCUAACUCCGUGCCAGCAGCCGCGGUAAUACGGAGGGAGCUAGCGUUGUUCGGAAUUACUGGGCGUAAAGCGCACGUAGGCGGUUAUUCAAGUCAGAGGUGAAAGCCCGGGGCUCAACCCCGGAACUGCCUUUGAAACUAGAUGACUGGAAUCUUGGAGAGGUCAGUGGAAUUCCGAGUGUAGAGGUGAAGUUCGUAGAUAUUCGGAAGAACACCAGUGGCGAAGGCGACUGACUGGACAAGUAUUGACGCUGAGGUGCGAA